CUUGGUCAUUUAGAGGAAGUAAAAGUCGUAACAAGGUCUCCGUUGGUGAACCAGCGGAGGGAUCAUUACCGAGUUUACAACUCCCAAACCCCUGUGAACAUACCUAUACGUUGCCUCGGCGGAUCAGUCCGCGCCCCGUAAGAAGGGACGGCCCGCCCGAGGACCCCUAAACUCUGUUUUUAGUGGAACUUCUGAGUAAAACAAACAAAUAAAUCAAAACUUUCAACAACGGAUCUCUUGGUUCUGGCAUCGAUGAAGAACGCAGCAAAAUGCGAUAAGUAAUGUGAAUUGCAGAAUUCAGUGAAUCAUCGAAUCUUUGAACGCACAUUGCGCCCGCCAGUAUUCUGGCGGGCAUGCCUGUUCGAGCGUCAUCUCAACCCUCAAGCUCAGCUUGGUGUUGGGACUCGCGGUAACCCGCGUUCCCCAAAUCGAUUGGCGGUCACGUCGAGCUUCCAUAGCGUAGUAAUCAUACACCUCGUUACUGGUAAUCGUCGCGGCCACGCCGUAAAACCCCAACUUCUGAAUGUUGACCUCGGAUCAGGUAGAAAUACCCGCUGAACUUAAGCAUAUCAAUAAGCGGAGGA
rnacentral:rRNA from 1 species